UGGAAGAAAGCAGUCAUCAUGCCUGUGCCCAAAAAACCCGUCCUAAAGGAUAUAAUGAUUUCAGACCAGUUGCAUUAACCCCUGUGGUGAUGAAAUGUAUGGAAAGAUUGAUGGUGAGCAGAUGGAGAUCUGAGGAUCGUCUGGUCUUGUUGCUCUGGUCCGUGGCAGACAACCUCCAGGUCCUGGACUUCUUCAUGUACAACUUGCCAUACCUGGUAUAAGAGAAAGGAGGUCAACUUAGUGAAAUAGUCAUAUUACCUUAGAUUGAACAGUACUUUCAUUUCCUGCCCGUCGUCCAGACAGUAUUCGGG